GGCAAUGUAGUUUAAAUAGAACGCCUAGCUUGCACCUAGGUAGAGGGCUUAAUGCUCCGGAGCCA
rnacentral:tRNA from 1 species